AGGACGAACGCUGGCGGCGUGCCUAACACAUGCAAGUUGAGCGACGAACCAGGGCUUGCCCUGGGGCAAAGCAGCGAACGGGUGAGUAACACGUGGGUAACCUGCCCCGAUAACCGGGACAACCCGAGGAAACUCGGGCUAAUACCGGAUGUGCUCGCCGGACUUCGGUCCGGCGCGUAAAGGAAGCUUCGGCCUCCGUAUCGGGGAGGGGCCCGCGGCCCAUUAGUUAGUUGGUGAGGUAACGGCUCACCAAGACCGCGAUGGGUAGCUGGUCUGAGAGGACGAUCAGCCACACUGGGACUGAGACACGGCCCAGACUCCUACGGGAGGCAGGCAGGUGGGGAAUCGUUGCGACAAUGGCGACGAAAGCGUGACGCAGCAACGCGCGGUAGGGGGAAGAAGGUCCUUCGGGUUACGUAAACCCCUUUCGAGGAGGGAACGAAGGUUCGGCGGU
rnacentral:rRNA from 1 species